CAUAAUUCACAUGAUCACACUCAGAAAACAAACUCAUGCAAACCAAGCUACGAGUCUUCGUCAAGAAAUUGAUGCUUGGCUUUGUUCGUUACAUUAAAACGAGUUGAAAAGAAACGUUAAACUAUUACUGAAGUGCAUAUCUGCUCAAUUUCGCAUGCUUUAAGGGUAUAUCUGGCCCUUUUAGGGUAACAGAGGCACCAGUUAAAUUAAGGGCAUAUUUGGACCAGCCAUUGAACGGUAAGGGCAUAUGUGAGCUGAACAACUAAAAAAAGCAUGCCAGCUCGAUUUUGAAUACUUCAAGAGCACAUUUGACCCUUUUCCCAUCAAUAAAGGAUGAUUCAUACUACAUUUCGAUAGUCGCUGGAAACAGUUCAAGGAGAAGCCUCCGGCUCGUAGUGUGGUGCUGGUACAAAGAGUAAUCAAAAGAUGCUUCAGCAUACGAUUCAUGUUUGAGAAGAGCUCAGUCAGGUUUGCUGAUCUCAAUGAACCAGCUCAGCUUGAAGAAGCAACCCCAUCACCAGUUGGUUUACUUGGUUAUGGUAAUAUUCACAAGGAGACUAUUAAAUCAAAUCCAGCAUUUGUGGUGUUGCCAAGAGAAGCCAGGUGGAACUCCCCAUCAUACAAGGCCUAGUUUCUCUUUAAGCAGCCUCUAGGUUGACAACAUUAAAGGUAAAAAGAGGGACUGAUUCUCUUCUAUAUACGAGACAGGUAAUAAUACCUGUGAAACAUGCAGAGUGUUCAAGAUGGUACGUCAACUGUUUCCAUCGUUCUGCAGGUAACUUUAGUCGUUAAAAGUAGCUUGACUCCAGUACCUCAUAGUUCUUCACACAAGUUCCNNNNNNNNNNNNNNNNNNNNNNNNNNNNNNNNNNNNNNNNNNNNNNNNNNNNNNNNNNNNNNNNNNNNNNNNNNNNNNNNNNNNNNNNNNNNNNNNNNNNNNNNNNNNNNNNNNNNNNNNNNNNNNNNNNNNNNNNNNNNNNNNNNNNNNNNNNNNNNNNNNNNNNNNNNNNNNNNNNNNNNNNNNNNNNNNNNNNNNNNNNNNNNNNNNNNNNNNNNNNNCCUCUCUUUAUCUCCGCGAGGGGAAGAGGGAAUUAUCUUUCUUUUUAUUAAAAAGAUAUUUAGGGAUUACGGAGACCAGAGAACACAAUGAAGUAAUUUCAACAAAUCUGCCGCUUACUAUACUUGUGCUGAAUAUAUACAACACAACAGCUUUCUCUAACAUUUACUUGAACUGCCAUAUUAGUAACCUGAAAUGUUCCUCCUAGAAUCAUCCAACUUUAAUUAAUAUUAAAAUAUAUGAAAACAAAGAUUUUGAUGGUAGCAAUCAAAGGUCAUACAUCUGAACUUCGUAUUUGAUGCUAUAAUUACAGUUCUGCUUACUUGAUACCAUGAUUAAAGUUCUCAUGCAGAAUAUCUGUUUAUUUGCUCAUUAUUCUGAAUCACAAUUUCAGGGGACUGAGACUAGGAACUUACCGAACUAUAUCCAUAUGCCGCGGUACAUAAUGUCCCCCACCAAUUCCUAGGAGGAUCUUUUGCUGAUUACCACUUCUGCAUUUUAUUGACAGUAGAUAAUUAGGUUGGAGAAAGAUCAGAAGUUAAUAUUAUAAUCAAGCGAAAACAAUCACUCUUCGUUCUUGUUUUUUUCCCAGUUGAAGUACAUGAUAUGUGUUUCACGGGAUCACUCUGUAGACAUUGAAAUUUUGUGGACGCUACAAAUAAAGUUCAAUUUUUGUUAGAGUUCUUGGGGCUACUUUACCCUAACUCCAGCUUGGUGGCUACUCUACCUAAACCCUAAAUUACGCCUAUAUAAAGGGGGCAAAUAUCCCUUUGGAGCAUCUCCAAGAUCCCAAAUAACCCACAAAUUCAUGAGAUUUUCAUAAAUCUCGAAUACCUCUAGAUAAUUCCAUAAACUCAUGGAAUACCACAAAGGGAUCAAAACCCUCACUUUUUGAUAAUCAAAUCAAUUUAUCAAGAAGAUCGACAAAUCCUCCUUUCAUGGAGAUCAAAUCCAAAUAUUCCUAUGUUCGAGAAAUACGCCACUAAUAGCCCUCGAAUUUUGGAGGAAUCCAUAUCAAAUCCAAAUAUGUCUACGUUCGAAAAAUACGCCAUUAACGACUCUCGAAUUAUGGAGAAAUUCAUAUCCAAAUCUUUCUACAUUCGAGAAAUACGCUACUGACGGCCCUCGAAUUAAGGAGAAAAUCAAGAGAGAAGAAUCAAGGGAGAAACAGAUUUGUACCCACAUCGUUUAUCAAUAAAAUAGUUGUUUCUUCAUAUUUUAUUGUCGUUGAAGUUUAUUUUUCAUGAAUUAAAUUAUGUUGGAAACAAAUUCUGGCACGCCUAGUGGGACGAUCUCUGCCUCUCAUCUCAACUUUUCCAACUUCAAAGUUCAACAACACUGAAAUGACUUCCAAGAAGGUCAACUCUCUAUCAACUGCUUCCAAGUCUGCUGAUUCAAAGUUCGCUGCUGAAGUAGAAAGCAUCCUUGGUGUUACUUUCGGAAGCUUGGGAGCUGUCACAAGGAGCAAGACAGGCUAGGUAGGACAACAAACACAUCCAGUGUCGUCCAUGCCAACUUCAGUUUUUGGAUCUUCAACCCCAAAAGGAAUGAAGUCCAAUGCAAGUGCUUCGGAAGGAGGAAGCAGUGUGGCGGAAUUGCUUAAGAAGACUCUAACUCUACUUGAGCAUUCUGGUUCCAAAUACUCUGGCGCAAAGAGCGAUGGUCGUUCAACAAACGCAUCAUCUCCACUUACACCGCAUAAGCUGAGCACUUCGAAGAUCAACUUAUGCGACAAUCCGUGUUACUCUGUCUCCAGUGAUCAUGCAAGCAAUGGUUACUGAUGCCUCGUCUAUGGAGGAGCAGCUUGCGAAUUUGACAAAGGAAAUUGAGGGUCUGACCAAAUAUGUUUAGAAUCAACAUGCUCGGAUUGAAAAGAUAGUGGAUAGGAUGGAGGGCCUGAUAGAUGAAGAGUCUAGCCAUGCACCUGAAAAAUCUCCAGAGGCUCACGAGAUAGAACAUCAUGUGAAACAAACACCACCAACUAAAGAGGUACAAGUUUCUUAUGAGGGAAUGAUCCGGAUUAAGCAAUUGAAGGGACCCUCAAAGACAAGUAUGAUGUUGUCACCAAGUCUUCCCUUACGUAUGCCAAGACCUACACUGUGAGAAUUGAUAGCCUCAAAAUGUCUGCCGGCUAUCAACCCCCCCAAAUUUCAACAAUUUGAGGGCAAAGGGAACCCAAAACAGCAUGUUGCACACUUUGUUGAGACACGUAAUAAUGCUGGAACUUACGUUGACUAUCUUGUCAAACAGUUUGUCCGUUCCCUAAAGGGAAACACCUUUGAUUGGUAUACGGACCUUGAGCCUAACUCCAUCGAUAGUUGGGAGCAAUUGGAGCAUGAGUUCCUGAAUCGCUUUUAUAGCACAAGGCGUACGGUGAGCACGGUAGAACUCACAAAUACUCGGCAAAUAAAAGACGAAUCAGUCAUUGACUUCAUCAAUCGAUGGAGAAAUACUAGCCUAAACUGCAAAGAUAGGCUCAGCGAAACUUUUGCAAUAGAGAUGUGCAUCCACGGAAUGCACUGGGAGCUCCUUUAUAUCUUGCAAGGCAUUAAGCCAAAAUCUUUUGAAGAGUUAGCUACGUGAGCUCAUGAUAUGGAGUUGAGCAUGUCUUCGGCCGGAAAAAGAGUAGCGCCUAUCCAUGACCCUCGAAGGGAAAGCAUAAGCAGGAACCCAAAAGAUGGGGCAAGUUUGUUCCUAAAAAUGAUAACAAAGAAUCCAUGAAUGUGGACGUCUCUUGUCAAGGUCACCACGAAGGUGAGCAAAAAGCAAAGCGUGAAAACGACUUCUCGAGCACGUCCAAAUCAAAAGUUGACUUUAAAGGAGAUGGAAGAAAAAGAAUACCCCUUCCUUGAUUCAGAUGUGGCCGAGAUUUUUUAUGAGCUUCUUGAGCAUAAGCUCAUUGAUCUACCAGAGAUGAAGCGGCCCGAUGAAGCUGGAAGGACCAAUGACUCGAAUUAUUGCAAGUAUCAUAGGCUUGUGGAUCACCCUCUGAAAAAGUGUUUUAUCUUUAAAGACAAAGUCAUGCAAUUAGCAAACAAGAAGAAGAUCUUCCCCGAUGAUGAGACGGCCAGUUCUCAUUAAAUCUCAAUCACUUUUGGCUCGCUCGAUCCGGUCCAAAUAUGUGUCAAAGAGCAUAAUGAGAGAUUAUUAGAGCAUGACAAGUCUUCAGUUGGCGAAGGCGAUGAUGAGGGUUGGACUCUAAUGACCAGGCGUAGACGCAAGAAGACGAGUCCAUGAAAGGAGUCUUCCGAGCAACCAACUAGGAGGAGGAUGGUAAGGAAAUCAAUGAAACAAAGGUUGGUCGAGCUUCUGAAAAAAACGAGGGUAAUAGAGCUUCAACACCAGUAACCACGACAUCCAGUGACUUUGAAGGAAUUGUUACCAAGUUGGUUCCGUGUAAAGACUUCUCAAGUCAACCUUGAGGCAUCUUGUUUUAAUACUGCCAAAGAGGGGGCAAAGGGUGAAAAUAUACCCAUAGAAGUUCCUUCAUCUUCUGAACAGCUUGCUAAAACUGUUUGCCAAGAGGCACAUGUAUGUGAUACAAAAAUCACAUUCACAAAUAACGAUCUUCUACUUGGAGGGCUUGGAGGAGCCCUAGAAAAUCGUCCCUUAUACAUGGUAGGUCAAGUGCUAGGAAAGAAGAUAAAUAGAAUCUGGAUUGAUGAGGGAUCCGGAGUCAACAUCCUGCCUAUCUGCACAAUGAAGGAACUUGGAAUUGCGACUAACGAACUGGACGAAAGCCAUAUAAUGAUCCAAGGCUUUAACCAAGGUGGCCAGAGGGCCAUAAGAUCUGUCAAGUUGGGGAUUUGUAUGGAUGAUUUUCGAUCAAAUGUGUUGAUGCAUGUGAUCGAUGCCAAAAUUUCAUACAAUAUAUUGCUUGGUAAGCCUUGAGUGCACGAGAAUAAAAUUAUCAAGAGAAUAAAAUUAUCUCGUCCUCUUACUAUUAAUGCUUAAAGUACCUCGAAGGCGGAGUGGAAAGAAAGAUAGUAGCUGAUGAUAAGCCAUUCACUGAAGCUGAAUCACUCUUUGUCGAUGCAAAAUUCUACUUGAAGAACUAUGUCGUGAAUGAGAAAAGGGUUGAUGUCACCAAGACCAAGUGUGAUGAUCUUGCAGCCAAGAAAGUCGUGGUAACUGUUGAAAAAGUCGCCACCAAGAAACCUCUCUCCACUUCAAAUAAAGAUAAUGUGCUAAAGGGGCUUACUUUACCUAUCAAGAAGAUUGACGCAAUAAAUCCAUCCUCAAGGCUACUUGGAGAGGCUGUGGCUCAAAACCCGCCACAAGAUAUGACGCUUUGAGAUCAAAUCCAAAUGUUCCUAUGUUCGAGAAAUACGCCACUAACGGCCCUCGAAUUACGGAGAAAUUCAUAUCAAAUCCAAAUAUGCCUACGCUCGAGCAAUACGCCACUAAUGACCCUCGAAUUACGGAGAAAAUCAAAAGAGAAAUUCAUAUCAAAUCCAAAUAUGCCUACGUUCAAGAAAUACGCUACUGACAGCCCUCGAAUUACGCAGAAAAUCAAGAGAGAAGAAUCAAGGGAGAAACAGAUUUGUACCCACAUCGUUUAUCAAUAAAGUUGUUGUUUCUUCAUAUUUUUAUUUGUGGUUGAAAUUAAUUUUCCAUAAAUUAAAUUAUGUUGGAAACAACUACCAAAACCAAACCUUCCAUAUUCACUAAAAAAAUAAACGCUAGAAAUUGAUGUCUCAGGCAGGGAAUUCCAAAGCCUGCAGUUUGGAGCAUAGAUCUGCCAACCAUGCAAUUGUCAAGUUUGCAAAUCGAAAGCUUUAAUCUUUAAGGCUUCCAAACUGAAGUUUCAAGUCUAAACCGGUUGUGAGACAAAGACGUGAAUCUCCAGUAGUCAACAAAUUGGAAGAGAAAGCCACAAUUUAGUACUACAAUAUAAGCACAUCAAAAUAAGCAAGCAAUUUGUGAAGUUGAAAUUCAAAAGGAAUAUUAAGAGAAAUGUGCAAUAUAAAGAGGAGCUUCUAUUACAACUAAUAGAUCCAACUACUCAAUAAAAGGCUAAAAUAAAGCGACAAGAAAGUUUGAAGAAAAGGAAACAUCUCUUAAGUCUAAUCUAGACAUAACUUGUAAUUGAUUAAGUCUUGGCGCAUAACUUCCAGAUGCUCUUUCCUCUAAUCUACACCAUUUGAUAAGUCUGCGUCAAAGCUUGCAUCGAAUUCCUUAGCUGCAACAGAAGCCUCUAGCUUUGCUUCUUGGGCUUCGUUCUCAGCUUCCGUUAAAAGACUUUCCAAAACCUGCGCCUUUCUAUACAAUUCUUUUAUCUUCUUCUUCAUAUUAUGCAGUGAUUGCUGAAUGGAGGAUGUUGCUCUAACCUGCUCGUCCUCUUCAAGCAUGACAUUUGAGAGGCGUUCCCCUGCUACGAAGAAUAAUUCUGCUCUUGCGGCUUCCUUAUUUAUAUCAUGAAGCAUCGAUCGUGUUUGGUCACAUAAAGUAGCAAGGUCAAAGAAGAAGUGCAACAACUUUCUCAAUGGGGAAAUAUCCAUGUCCUUACAAUCCAUCUUCUUGAUGAUUACUUGGACUUCAUCUUUAAGGGAAGAAGCGUAAUCAACAUCGCACUUAGAAAACUUGCCUUGAAUUACGGUCCAAAGAGAGGAGACAUAGUUUUUCUGAGCAUCUAGGAUAGCCUUCUUUCCAUCAAAUAUCAACAUAACAGCUAAUGGGGGCUUACAAGUGUCAGAAUCCAAGGUUGCUUUAACCUUGUUACAAGAAACAUAAGUUGGCCCUUCUCGUGUUUUAGCUGUGGAAGGUGGUUCCAUAAGAUCAGGACCAGAUACAAACUCAUCACUAUCAUGUGACCCUUCACGCUGCAAGGCUGUAAUAUUAGUCGGCUGUAAAAUGCACCCUUACUUUUAUAUGGAUAGUGAGAAUGCCCCAGCAUUGGAGAUGAGCUACUUUAUAAGUAUUCGUUUCAGCUAUCUCACACUUAGAUAUAGAAACUCAUUUAUCAUUGAGUCAUAUAGUCCACACCGCUUCAGUCGACAGUUUGGAUUUUAUCAGAAUAUUCCGAGCAUCAUGAAGAAUGACAUUAGCACUGCCUCUUUAGAAAAAGGACCAACAUUUUGGAGGAUUUGCACAUUGAGCCGAUCAUCCUCACAAGCAACUUUUCCUUCAAUUUUGCCUGAUGUAGGCGAGUUCUUUGGAACUGACUAUCAGACUUGGUGGAAAAAGACUCAUGGAGAUUUCCUUGAUCAACCUACAGACUUAGGUGAACAUUGUUGGGUCGACUACCGUCACACAUUUGGGGAAUUCUGAUGAAGUACCUGUAAAUGAGGCCCUUAUCACUGAUGUUCCUCCUUCGGAUGCCAAGUUGCCAAAUCAAAAUGAAAAUGAGAGAUCUCACACGCCGCCGGUGGUAUACGAGGGCAAGACUCUUACUCAAACUACUCAUGUCUCUAAAAGGUGAUCCCAAGAUGAAGGUGAAAGUAGUAGUAGAGAUCGUUGCAGGAAAAGAGUAAAGGUACAUUUCGACGAUGCGAGAGGUAUUAGUCCACCGGUGAUUGAAAUUCGUGAUGACACGGAUAAUCCUUUGAGGACUAUAUCAGCUCUUGUCGAGUAGGUAUGUUUAAGACAUCUAUUUUACCAAGUGUACCUUAAUGACCCCCUUUUUUAUUAAUCCCUUUUUUUGUUCUGAUGCAGCCGACUAAUAUUACAGCCUUGCAGCGUGAAGGGUCACAUACUAGUGAUGAUUCUGUAUCUGGUCCAGAUCUGAUGGAACCACGACUGCUAGAAUUUAUUGGACAAUAAAAUUCUCGAGACCGAAAAUAAUAAUCAAAACAAGAAAAAUACUGCAACAAUCGAUUUAUUGAUCUUAAUGGGAGUGUUACAAUCACUAUGAAUCCUCUGAGUUGCCUUUUCAACUAUAAAUUCAAGGACUUCGUGCUUAAUCUUAAACUUGAUGGAUUUGAUCUUAACUUGAAUCCAAGGGCUUUGUAGCUUGUUCUUGCAGUCUUGAUCUUGAAUUACGAAUUUGACGAACUUGAUCUCAACUUGUACUUGAAUUCAAGAGCCUUUGAGUUUCUUCUUGAAUCUUGAAUUUGUAAAGAAAUCUGCUGCGAGCUCUCUCUUGCUUCUUGCUAGACUUGUUGGAGCCUUUUCUGAAUUAUGAGGCCUAUUUAUAGUUGUAGGAAGUGAAGAGUCAUGGUAAAUAUGAACUUCCUUUGACCAAUCAGAUUUAAGUGACAUGUCUUGAUAAAUAUGAACUUCCUUUGACCAAUCAGAUUUAAGUGACAUGACAUUUUUUAUGAGCUUUUAAUUUACUGCAUCAAUUUGAUAUAAACCCAAGUUGUCAUCAAUUUGAUAUGUGACAUGGUCCCAUUGGCUCCUUCACUUGACUUGGCAUGCCACGUCAUUUGACAUGUGGCACCAAAUUGGGCCUCUAGCACAUGAUGACAUCUUGGGUUUAGUCAUUUGUAGUCCAAAUUAAUACGAUGACAUAUUGGGCAUGAUAAAGAAUGCUUAGUCAUUUGUAGCCCAAAUCAAUGUGCUAGCCCGAUAAACAUUGGACUUUAAUUAAAUCCAUACAUGUUUGGACUUAAAUAAUUAGUCCAAUUAUAUUAAUCCUUAAUAUUUAUUUGGGACUAAUAUAUUUUGGAAUUUAAUAUAAUCUGAAUUUCGUAUGGAUUUCAAUUUAAUAAAAUUUUAUUGCUCACAAAUUGCCCCUUACUUCAAGACUUGUCGAGAUAUUUAAUUUGUUUUAGACUAGAAGUACAUAUUGUCCAUAGGUCAAUCACGUAUAAGUCCAAAAAUAAUGGGCUCACUUGUGAUGGCAUUUAAUGCUACUAUUAUGGACUUUAUCCUUUUGAUAGCAUUUAAUACUACUAUUAUUCUUUUUUAAGUAGCACAUGUGCACACCUUUGUCCUUUGCGUGGGCCCCGCUGCUAUUUGAUCUUUUCAAAUAAAGUUGACCACAUAAUUUCCUCAAAAUUGUUGUAGCUCAUAUUUAAUAGAAUAAAGACUCUUUUUAUUUAAAGAUAACCCAAGUCCUAAUGGACAUAAAUAGCAUGUGGUGUAGACUCCAUCUACUUAAGUUUCCCUCUUAGACUUGAAUUCCUUUUCCUAUUAAUUCAUUAUAUGGAUUUUUGUUUAUCCGUUCCAGGCAACCUCUGCUUCCCCUUUUUUUGAACUGCAUGCAACUGUUUGUCCUCUAUUAGGAAUCAAAUUUCCUAGUAUUAGUUGUACAUGACUAUUUAGCCACCGCCUCUUCAACCCUAUAAAUACCCAAUAUAUAUUUUUCUUUUUACCAUGAAAAACAUUAAUUUGCAAGAUCCUUUGGAGACACCUCUGGUCCGAACUUCAAGAAUUAAUAUUGAGGUAUUUUCUCUUAUUAUUUUAAUCAUCCCCUUUUUCUAAUAAUAGUCCAUGCACGAUUAAACUUAUUGCUCAAGACAAUGCCUUUCAUGCAAAGACGAUAAUCAUAUGGUGCAAAGGGAUAAUCACUCACUCCCUACCAAAAGUAAAGUAAUUUUAUUGCGCAUAGGGAUGACUACUCGUCCCCGCCAAACGUAACUUUAUGGUAAUCUUACGGCGCAUAAGGGAUCUAUUCGUACCCGCCAUAAGAAAGGUAACUUUACGGCAAAUAGGGAUAACUACUCGUCCCUGCCAUAAGAAAGGGUAACUUUAUGGUAAUCUUACGGUGCAUAGGGAUGACUACUCGUCCCCCCUAUAAGAAAGGGUAACUUUAUGGUAAUCUUACGGCGCAUAGGGAUGACUACUCGUCCCCGCCAUAAAAAAUAACUUUAUGGUAAUCUUACGACGCAUAGGGAUGGCUACUCGUCCCCGCCAUAAGAAAGGGUAACUUUAUGAUAAUCUUACGUUGCAUAGGAAUGACUACUCGUCCUCGCUAUAAGAAAGGUAACUUUAUGGUAAUCUUACGGCGCAUAGGGAUGACUUAGUCAAGAUUCUUUUGUACCUAUUAUUGUACGCCAUAGAUUUAACCCCUCUUCUUUUCUUUGCAGUUUGAAGAGAUGGUGAUUUUCAAACACUACACCUCCCCUUCUACUAGAUCCAAGUAUCUUGUAGUCAAAACUAAAGAUGGGGCCCAACAGACUCGACUUUUGACUCAUACUCCGUUGUCUGGUCGGUUUGCAAGUUCGGGGCCUUCUUUCAAGAACCCAUUCUCCAUGACGAACUGGACUUCAAUACAAACCCCUAAUUUCGAUCAGUCAUUCAAAUUGUUCUCUCUUCAUGCGCCGAAUCAUCAUCACGCAAAUAUCUCAACUCCACUCCUAAGCUUGGGUCGUCGUAUAACAUUAGGAGAGAUACGAUGACGCUUGAGGGAGAGUACCGUCACAUUUAUGGGUAUUGGGAGUGGACAGAAGAUAUACUCGGUAGGAGCCAAGAAACUCUGAGUAAGGUACAGAUUUAUGAUGCUGUUUAUGUAUCACUUUUUAUUUAUGAUCGUAACUCAGACAUAUUUCAAGAAUUUUGUGAAGCUUGGUGCCCCAAGACAAAUACACUUCUCACAUCCGUUGGGGAAUUAUCUAUUUCUUUAUGGGAUUUGCAUGUUCUUGGAGGCUUGCUAAUUCAGAGUAUUCUUUAUGAAGAAGUAGUGCUUGAGGCCAAAGAACUUACAGGAUUAGAUGCAAAGAAGGUAAGGUAUGUUUCCCAAACUUGGGAGAACCUAUUUGCUUCUUUUCAUAAUUUGCGAGAUGCUAGCCAAGAAGUAUCAUUCAGCAAUUGGAUAACAUAUUGGUGCAAGAAACCUUCAAAGUACGGCCCUGCUCCACCGAGGCAGAAAAAGAAAUUUGCUCGCCCUGAAUUAACACAACCCUAGCAGGGUUUUGCCUGAUACACUAAGAUGGUUACAUGCUGAAGAGAACGUAUUUUUUGAGCUUGGGGUGAACCGCGACAAAAAAGAUGAUACAUAUUUGGCAACUUGCUUAUCUUGUUGGUUGUGUGCUUUUGUUUUUCCAAGCACGAAAAGUGAUUUCAUUCGCCCCGGGACUUUCAAGAUAGCGAGUGGGCGGAUGGUUUGCAAUACCGGUACUGGUUAACAUUUAUAGUGGACUAAACAAGAUAUCUUCUUUGGCACAACUCGAUCAAAUUAAGGUUUGUUUUCCUAUUCACUAUGUGUAUGUUGGAUUGCUUAUUAUUUCAGGACCCAUUAUCCAUUUGCCAGUGAACCAUCCGUUCCCACUAUGAUUGUAUACUCUGGAGAGGGCAGUGCAAAGUAUUUCGACAAAAAUGAUGCAAGAAAGUGUAUCCAUAGGGGGAGAAUGUGGUUUGGACUUCUACAAUGCAUGACAAAAUGCACCCUUACUUUUAUGUGGAUAGUGAGAACGCCCCAACAUUGGAGACGAGCUACUUUAUGAGUAUUUGUUUCAGCUAUCUCACACUUAGAUAUAGAAACUCAUUUAUCAUUGAGCCAUAUAGUCCACACCGCUUCAGUCGACAGUUUGGAUUUUAUCAGAAUAUUCCGGGCAUCAUGAAGAAAGACAUUCGCACAGCCUCUAUAGAAAAAGGACAAACAUUUUGGAGGAUUUGCACAUUGAGCCGAUCAUCCUCAUGAGCAACUUUUCCUUCAAUUUCAUCUGAUGUAGGCGAGUUCUUGACCAUCUUAGUGUAUCUGGCAAAACCCCGCUAGGGUUGUGUCAAUUCGGGGCGAGCAAUUUUCUUUUCCUGCCUUGGUGGAGCAGGGCCGUACUUUGAAGGUUUCUUGCACCAGAAUGUUAUCCAAUCGCUGAAUGAUACUUCUUGGCUAGCAUCUCUCAGAUUAUGAAAGGGUGCAAAUAAGUACUCCCAAGUUCGGAAAACAUAUCUUACCUUCUUUGCAUCUAAUCAUGUAAGUUCUUUGGCCUCAGGCACUACUUCAUAAAGAAUACUCUGAAUUGGCAAGCCUCUAAGGACAUGCAAAUCCCAUAAAGAAAUAGAUAAUUCCCCGAUGAAUGUGAGAAAUGUAUGUCUUGGGGCACCAAGCUUCACAAAAUUCUUGAAAUAUGUCUGAGUUACGAUCAUAAAUAAAAAGUGAUGCAUAAACGGCAUCAUAAAUCUGUACCUUACUCAGAGUUUCUUGGCUCCUACUGAGUAUAUCUUCUGUCCACUCCCAAUACCCAUAAAUGUGACGGUACUCUCCCCAGGCGUCAUCGCAGCUCCCAAACUUAUCUCUCCUAAUGUUAUACGACGACCCAAGCUUAGGAGUGGAGUUGCGAUAUUUGCGUGAUGAUGAUCUGGCGCAUAAAGAGAGAACAACUUGAAUGACUGAUCGGAAUAAGGGGUUUGUACUGAAGUCCAGUUCGUCAUGGAGAAUGGGUUCUUGAAAGAAGGCCCCGAACUUAAAUACCGACCAGUCAAGGGAGUAUGAGUCAAAAGUCGAGUCUGUUGGACCCCAUCUUCAGUUUUGACUACAAGAUAUUUGGAUCUGGUGGAAGGGGAGGUGUAGUGUCUGAAAAUCACCAUCUCUUCAAACUGCAAAGAAAAGAAGAAGGGUUAAAUCUAUUGCGUACAACAAUAGGUACAAAAGAAUCUUGACUAAGUCAUUCCUAUGCGCCGUAAGAUUACCAUAAAGUUACCUUUCUUAUGGCGGGGAGGAGUAGUCAUCCCUAUGCACCAUAAGAUUACCAUAAAGUUACCCUUUCUUAUGGCGGGGACGAGUAGUCAUCCCUAUGCGUCGUAAGAUUACCAUAAAGUCUUUUUUUAUGGCGGGGACGAGUAGUCAUCCCUAUGCGCCGUAAGAUUACCAUAAAGUUACCUUUCUUAUGGCGGGGACGAGUAGUCAUCCCUAUGCACCAUAAGAUUACCAUAAAGUUACCCUUUCUUAUGGUGGGGACGAGUAGUCAUCCCUAUGCGGCGUAAGAUUACCAUAAAGUCUUUUUUUAUGGCGGGGACGAGUAGUCAUCCCUAUGCACCGUAAGAUUACCAUAAAGUUACCCUUUCUUAUGGCGGGGACGAGUAGUCAUCCCUAUGCGCCGUAAGAUUACCAUAAAGUUACCCUUUCUUAUGGCGAGGAUGAGUAGUCAUCCCUAUGCGCCGUAUGAUUACCAUAAAGUUACCCUUUCUUAUGGCGGGGACGAGUAGUCAUCCCUAUGCGCCAUAAGAUUACCAUAAAGUUACCCCUUUCUAAUGGCGGGGACGAGUAGUCAUCCUUAUGCCGUAAGAUUACCAUAAAGUUACCUUUGGCGGGGACGAGUAGUCAUCCCUACGCGUCGUAAGAUUACCAUAAAAUUACCUUACUUAUGGUAGGGAGCGAGUGACUAUCCUUUUGCACCAUAUGAUUAUCGUCUUUGCAUGAAAGACAUUGUCUUGAGCAACAAGUUUAAUCGUGUAUGAGCUAUUAUUAAAAAAAGGGGAUGAUUAAAAAAAAAAAAAAGAGAAAAUACCUCAAUAUAAAUUCUGAAGUCCGGCCUAGAGGUGUCUCCAAAGGAUCUUGCAAAUUGAUGUUUUUCAUGGUAAAAGGAAAAAUAUAUAUGGGAUACUAGGAAAUUUGAUUCCUAGUAGAGAACAAACAGUUGCAUGCAGUCCAAAAAAAAAGGGAAGUAGAGGUUGCCUGGAACGGAUAAACAAAAAUCUAUAUAAUGAACAAAUAGGAAAAGGAAUUCAAGUCUAAGAGGGAAACUUAAGUAGCUGGGAUCCACACCACAUGCUAUUUAUGUCCAUUAGGACUUGGGUUAUCUAAAAAAAAAGAUGAGUCUUUAUUCUAUUAAAAAGGAGCUACAACAAUUUGAGGAAAUUAUGUGGUCAACUUUAUUUGAAAAGACCAAAUAGCAGCGGGGCCCACGGAAAGGACAAAGGUGUGCACAUGUGCUACUUAAAAAAAAGAAAAAGAAUAAUAGUAGUAUUAAAUGCAACCAAAACGAUAAAGUAGAUAAUAAUAGCAUUAAAUGCCAUCACAAGUGAGCCCAUUAGUUUUGGACUUAUACGUAAUUGACCCAUGGACAAUAUGUACUUCAAGUCUAGUCUCAAACAAAUUAAAUAUCUCGACAAGUCUUGAAGUAGGGGGCAAUUUGUGAGCAAUGAAAUUUUAUUAAAUUGAAAUCCGUACGAAAUUCGUAUUAUAUUAAAUUCCAAAACAUAUUAGUCCCAAAUAAAUAUUAGGGAUUAAUAUAAUUGAACUAAUUAUUUAAGUCCAAACAUGUAUGGAUUUAAUUAAAGUCCAAUUUUUAUUGAGCUAGCACAUUGAUUUGGGCUACAAAUGACUAAGCCCACUUUAUCGAGCCCAAGAUGUCAUCAUAUUAAUUUAGACUACAAAUGACUAAGCCCAAGAUGUCAUCAUGUGCUAGAGGCCCCAUUUGGUGUCACAUGUCAAAUGACGUGGCAUGCCAAGUCAAGUGAAGGAGCCAAUGGGACAAUGUCACAUGUCAAAAUGAUGUAGUAAAUUAAAAGCCCAUAAAAAGUGUCAUAUCACUUAAAUUCGAUUGGUCAAAGAAAGUUCAUAUUUAUCAAGACCAUAUCACUUAAAUCUGAUUGGUCAAAGGAAGUUCAUAUUUACCAUGGCUCUUCACUUCCUACAACUAUAAAUAGGGGUCUCAUAAUUCAGAAAAGGCACCAACAAGUCUAGCAAGAAGUAAGAGAGAGCUCGUGGAUCAAACGCAACAGAUUUCUUUACAAAUUCAAGAUCAGUUCAUCAAGCUUCAAGAUCAAGACUUCAAGAUUCAAGAAGAAGCUUAAAGGCCCUUGAAUUCAAGUACAAGUCGAGAUCAAGUUAAUCAAAUCCAUAAUUCAAGAUCAAGACUGCAAGACUUAAGAACAAGCUACAAAGCCCUUGGAUUCAAGCACAAGUCAAGAUCAAAUCCAUCAAGUUCACCAAUCAAGUUCAAGAUUAAGCUCGAAACCCUUGAAUUUAUAGUUGAAAAGGCGAAUGAGAGGAUUCAUAGAGAUUGUAACACUCACAUUGAAAUCAAUAAAUCGAUUGUUGUAGUAUUUUUCUUGUUUCAAUUAUUAUUUUCGGUCUCGAGAAUUUUAUUGUCCAACAAAUUCUGGCACACCCAGUGGGACCAAAUCUGCUCUUCAUCUUUUCUCUCAUAAAUCAAAUAUGCAAAUCUGUAACCGCAGGAUCGUAAAGAUGAAAGCGGUACUUCAAGACUCGUCUUUGAGUUUCAUCAAGUUUACACUCCGACGAGCCUUGAAGUAGGGGGCAUUUGUAGACAUUGAAAUUUUAUGAACUCUACAAAUAGAGUUCAAUUUUUGUUAGAGUUUUUGGGAGCUACUUUACCCUAACUCUAGCUUGGUAGCCUCAAUUACGCCUAUAUAAAGGCGACAAAUAUCCCUUUGGGGCAUCUCCAAGAUCCCAAAUAUCCCACAAAUUCAUGAGAUAUUCAUAAAUCUCGAAUAUCUCUAGAUAAUUCCAUAAACUCAUGGAAUACCACAAAGGGAUCAAAACCCCCUCUUCUUGAUAAUCAAAUAAAUUUAUCAAGAAUAUCGACAAAUCCUUCUUUUAUAGAAAUCAAAUUCAAAUAUUCUUAUGUUCGAGAAAUACGCCACUAAUAGCCCUCGAAUUAUGGAAGAAUCCAUAUUAAAUCCAAAUAUGUUUACGUUCGAGAAAUACGUCAUUAAUGACCCUCGAAUUACAGAGAAAUUCAUAUCCAAAUCUUUCUACAUUCGAGAAAUACACUACUGACGGCCCUCGAAUUAAGGAGAAAAUCAAGAGAGAAAAUCAAAGGAGAAACAGAUUUGUACUCACAUUGUUUAUCAAUAAAAUUGUUGUUUCUUCAUAUUUUAUUUGUGAUUGAAGUUUAUUUUCCAUGAAUUAAAUUAUGUUGGAAACACACUCUCUUUUAGCUUAAAUUUACUCUAGCCAUGAUAUUGCAUUUCUAUACAAGAAAUACAGAGCAAAGCUACACAAGUUAUUAUUAAGGAAACGAAUGAACUUCUAGCCUCACAGAUGUUCAUGCGGUCUGAUUCUGUAAAAUGCUGGUAAUGUAGAAGUAGAAAUAGAAACAGUAUGACCAAGAUACAAUUACUAGAAGUGUACCUGCUCCAAUCCCCCACUGCAUCUCCUCCCCCGAGGCCCAGUCCUUCCCAAACUAACUGCAAACAGCACAAUUAGGGAAAAUUACAAAAGAUACAACAAAGAUAGAAUAAUUCCUAGAUUAUUUUAGUCAUGCCAUCAGUUAAGCAUCGAAAAAAUCAGAAUGCACUAGCUCCAUAUGAUCUAUCAAUAUUGUUAUGUUUGCUCAGUAGAGAUCUGACCUAAAGUUACAUAGGUACAAGCUUUCGAAAGUAUAUGAGAUAUUCAAAUGCAACGAGAAAUAUGUCAGCCCUACCAAACAUUCAGCAUCUUUACCCCACCUCUAAGCUCUUUCCAUCAAGCGAGGAUGGGAGUUGAAGAAUGAGAUUAAGGUAUCAUUAUGAGGGAUUCACAGAAGUUAUAGAACAAAUAUGGAAUUUAAAAAAAGAGAACUAAAAAUGUUCCUCUGAUUUCCGUUUCAAGUAAAAGCCCAAAAUUUUAAUGUAUGCAACACUAAAGGGUUCAAUUGGCCUGGAAGAAGUCAAUCCAUGAUUAAGCAUAAAAGAGUGUGCUUGCAACAGAGACAGAUCAAAAGUUAAAUGAAUAUUGCAAAAGAGCUUGUGCCAUAAAAAAGGAUACCCAACUAAGGCAAUGGCUUGUGCAGCAUCCUGCCUCUUCCAGUACUCCUCUGUGCUACCUACAUAGUAAACAACAUUUCAGCUGAAUAGAUUAGGAAAUUGCUAUGGAGAGUGUUAGCCUGAUUUUAAUGAUGACAUAUACUUAACCAAAACUACUAUUGCAGGUAAAAAGGAAAACCGUUCAGAAGUAGAUGGAAUCAAGAGAGGAAGAUCUCUCAAGGAUUCACGGCGAAAUCUCUAGUAACAAAUAAAUCAACCCACAAACCACAUACGGAAGCAAGUAAAAUCAACGCGACAAUUCGGACAAAGUCACAAAAACAGACUGGACUGUCUAGCUACACAUAACUAUGUACAGAAGAUGAGAUAGCAAAUCAAUUCCCUAUAAGAAAGCAAACCAUCAGAAGCGGCCAGAAGGAUUGAAGACAAAGAUGGGCAUACUAUCAAUCAAAUCUCAAUCAAGGAUAAAACAAAUCACCUUGAUUGAGAGUAUACCCCUUGGGUUACCUUAGAGCAGCCUGUAAAAGAUCAAAGGAAUUGAUCUUCAACUCGAGACGAGCAGCCGCGAAGAUCUCUAUAUAAAUAAGACCAAGUUGAAUGAAGAAGCUGCGCAACUUCACUUGAGCAAAAACCAAUCACUUUUUCAUCUUAUAAACACAUUGUAAUCUUUACAGUUUACUAGUGAAAAGAAAAGAUAAGGAGAGAAUAGGAAGCUAUAUGAGUAGAGGUUGUGGCCAACUAUAAAGUGGAAUCUGUCUAGUUUAAAGAACUCUCUGUAGUUCGCAAUCUACAACAUUUGUGCAAUCAAGAUACAUUCAAGAUUCUAAGGAAACCCUUGUAACCAAGGGAAUUGAACUAGGC
rnacentral:lncRNA from 1 species